rnacentral:rRNA from 1 species
CAAGGAAUUUUCCGCAAUGGGCGAAAGCCUGACGGAGCAACGCCGCGUGGGGGAGGAAGCUUUUCGGAGUGUAAACCUCUUUUCUUGGGGACGACGAACGACGGUACCCGAGGAAUAAGGACCGGCUAACUACGUGCCAGCAGCCGCGGUAAUACGUAGGGUCCGAGCGUUGUCCGGAGUUACUGGGCGUAAAGCGCGCGCAGGCGGCUCGUCAAGUCUGGCGUGAAAGCCCCCGGCUCAACCAGGGAGGGUCGUCGGAGACUGGCGAGCUUGAGGGCGGUAGGGGCUGGUGGAAUUCCCGGUGUAGUGGUGAAAUGCGUAGAGAUCGGGAGGAACACCUGUGGCGAAGGCGGCCGGCUGGGCCGUCCCUGACGCUGAGGCGCGAAGGCGUGGGGAGCGAACGGGAUUAGAUACCCCGGUAGUCCACGCAGUAAACGAUGCAGACUAGGCGUGGGGGGACUUGACCCCUCCGUGCCGGAGCCAACGCGGUAAGUCUGCCGCCUGGGGAGUACGGUCGCAAGACUAAACUCAAAUGAAUUGACGGGGG